CCUACGGGCGGCAGCAGUGGGGAAUAUUGGACAAUGGGGGGAACCCUGAUCCAGCCAUGCCGCGUGUGUGAAGAAGGCCCUCGGGUUGUAAAGCACUUUCAGUGAGGAAGAACGCCUGGUGGUUAAUACCCAUCAGGAAAGACAUCACUCACAGAAGAAGCACCGGCUAACUCCGUGCCAGCAGCCGCGGUAAUACGGAGGGUGCGAGCGUUAAUCGGAAUUACUGGGCGUAAAGCGCGCGUAGGUGGCUUGAUAAGCCGGUUGUGAAAGCCCCGGGCUCAACCUGGGAACGGCAUCCGGAACUGUCAAGCUAGAGUGCAGGAGAGGAAGGUAGAAUUCCCGGUGUAGCGGUGAAAUGCGUAGAGAUCGGGAGGAAUACCAGUGGCAAAGGCGGCCUUCUGGACUGACACUGACACUGAGGUGCGAAAGCGUGGGUAGCAAACAGGAUUAGAUACCCCAGUAGUC
rnacentral:rRNA from 1 species